rnacentral:rRNA from 1 species
UACGGGGGGAGCAAGCGUUGUUCGGAUUCACUGGGCGUAAAGGGUGCGUAGGUGGCGAGGUAAGUCGGAUGUGAAAGCUCGGAGCUCAACUCCGAAAUGGCAUUGGAAACUACCUUGCUCGAGGGUCGGAGGGGGGACUGGAAUACUUGGUGUAGCAGUGAAAUGCGUAGAUAUCAGGAGGAACACCGGUGGCGAAAGCGGCUCACUGGACCGUUACUGACGCUGAGGUGCGAAAGCUAGGGGAGCAAACGGG